UUCCGGUUGAUCCUGCCGGACCCGACUGCUAUUUGGGUGAGAAUAAGCCAUGCGAGUUGAAUGGGAUACCUAAAGUUCCCAUAGCAAACUGCUCAGUAACACAUGAUCAACUUACCCUAUAGAGAAAAAUAACCUCGGGAAACUGAGGAUAAUGUUUCAUAAUUGAAUUGACUUGGAAAAGUUUUUCAAUGAAAAGGAUAAAAAAAAAUGGUUUUUAUCUGCUAUAGGAUAGGAUCGUGUUCGAUUAUGGUUGUUGGUGAGAUAAUGGCUCACCAAGCCGAUAAUCGAUAGGGGCCGUGAGAGCGGGAGCCCCGAGAUGGGUACUGAGACAACGACCCAGGCCUUACGAGGCGCAGCAGGCGCGGAACCUCCGCAAUACACGAAAGUGUGACGGGGUUACCCAAAGUGUUCAAUAGAACUGUGGUAGGUGAGUAAUGUCCCCUACUAGAAAGGAGAGGGCAAGGCUGGUGCCAGCCGCCGCGGUAAAACCAGCUCUUCAAGUGGUCGGGAUAAUUAUUGGGCUUAAAGUGUCCGUAGCCGGUUUAGUAAGUUCCUGGUAAAAUCGGGUAGCUUAACUAUCUGCAUGCUAGGAAUACUGCUAUACUAGAGGGCGGGAGAGGUCUGAGGUACUACAGGGGUAGGGGUGAAAUCUUAUAAUCCUUGUAGGACCACCAGUGGCGAAGACGUCAGACUGGAACGCGCCUGACGGUGAGGGACGAAAGCCAGGGGAGCGAACCGGAUUAGAUACCCGGGUAGUCCUGGCCGUAAACGAUGCAUACUAGGUGAUGAUACGGCCAUGAGCCGUAUCAGUGCUGCAGGGAAACCGUUAAAUGUGCCGCCUGGAAGUACGGUCGCAAGGCUAAAACUUAAAGGAAUUGGCGGGGGAGCACCACAAGGGGUGAAGCCUGCGGUUCAAUUGGAGUCAACGCCGGGAAUCACUAGUGCGGCCG
rnacentral:rRNA from 1 species